UGUUGCGCAACAGGUUCCCACAGGAGCGAGAACCCUGAGUAUGGGGUGACAUUGACUUUUAAAACUUCCCACAAUAUCCCAGAAUACAGUUUGUACAGCAUCAUUGACACGUCAUCUUUACAUCACUGACAUGUCAUGAAAGGGGAGGGUUACAGAGGGGUUUACAAAUUAGCAUAGGCAAAACAUGUCCAGGUACAAGAUUGACAAAGGCAAACAUGUCUCAACUCCUCUUAAGUACACACCAUCCAAAGGUACGAUAUAAAUCCCUUUGCGCACCCAGGCCCUGGGGCAAUUUCGAUGGUCUGUUCUGGGUUUCUUUAGUCAGCUAACUGCUCAGCAAUUGACACUCUGGACACUUCCCUGGGGUGGGGGUGGGGGUGUACGUGCCCCCACGCUUGCAGGAUUAUGGCAGGAGGUGGUGGGGAAGGAAGUCCUUUUUCUUAAGGCCAAAAUGGUGUUGGAAUGAAGAGAAUUGGUCAAACUACUUAUUUUAUAUGAUUUUCUGAAGGUUUAAGGUUUUUCUAAGCUGACAGUCUAUGGGCGAGGGGUUUUGACACAUUUUUUUGCAACAAAGUAUCAACUGAGCAAUCGAAGCCUAGCUAAUGACGUUUUAAUAGACUGAAUCCAUUGUUCUCCCAGCGGCCGCUCAGACAAGCGCGCAAAAGUUCGAGUUGAGUUACCUUGCAGAGGGGAAAGGCAGCUUGAAUGGGAAGAGAUUCUGUCCACUAGAGGCCGCUAUCCGCUGAACGCUAUUGGCUAGCUGUCAAAAUCCAACGCUUUUGAUUGGUCUAGACGCAGUAGUAUGCAAAUACAGAGUUCAUUCACAAGUCCUUGUGCAUAUUGAUAAGGGGUUUCAAAAACAGAAAGGAAACCGAGUCUUUAUUAAUGAAAUAUAAGUGGUGCUUGGUGCAACAGUGUAUGGAAAGGGUUUUCUUGAGCUCAUCGUCUCGCGCCCUAAGUAUGGGGGGGGGGGAGCGUUUCUGGGAUAGGCGAGACCCAACCCACAACGCAACUGGGCUCUCGCUUAUGGGCCCCCCCACGGAAAUUCCGCAAAGGCUCGAAGUGGGGUGCUGGCCUCAGCAGGGAGUGGGGCUGGGAAGGGGGCACCAGCUUAGGUCGAUAGGACCUGGGCAUGUUCUUGACAGGCCUUUCUUCAAGGAUGAUUCUAUUCCCUCUAAUUAUAUUAUUAUUAUUAUUAUUAUUAUUAUACCCCGCCCAUCUGGCUGGGUUCCCCCAGCCACUCUGGGCGGCUUCCAACACACGCAAAAAUAAUAAUAAAACAUCAAACAUUAAUAGUAACAAUCAGAUCCUACAUGAAAAGUCACAAUAACUUUAAUAUAAACAACUUAUACCAAAUAAAGCAGUAUGCAAUAAUGCAUUAGAAUCCAAUAGCAAACACUAAAAUUAAACAUCGGCAGGUAACAAUUAAACAGUUUACACUUAUCAAUUACAAUGAAGAAUUACUCAUCUAUAAUCGACAAAAAUAGCAGCAAACCACAAUACCUAAAAUACCACAAAUCAUACAAAACAAUGUAAAAGGAUUAAAUUAAGAAACAAGGACACACAACUUAUAAUUAUUAUAAUAAUUAUCAUUUUUAAAUGGCCACUGGUCCCAACACCUCCUGGCAAAUAGAAGUGGAAGAAACGGAGGCAGUGAGAGAGCGAUGAAGUCUCUUGGCUGUUAUAUCUUUUCCUUCCACUAGUGGCCACUGUGUCGCUCUUCAUACUAUUCUUGAGUACGGUACGUAUUAUGUCUCUUGGCUGUUAUGACUUCUUCUUCCACUAGUGUCCGCUGUGUAGCUCUUCCUAAGGUUCUUGACUACAGUGGUACCUCAGGUUACAUACGCUUCAGGUUACAGACUCUGCUAACCCAGAAAAAUUACCUCGGGUUAAGAACUUUGCUUCAGGAUGAGAACAGAAAUUGUGCAGCGGUGGAGCAGCAGGAGGAGCGGGAGGCCCCAUUAGCUAAAGUGGUGCUUCAGGUUAAGAACAGUUUCAGGUUAAGAACGGACCUCCAGAACGAAUUAAGUUCUUAACCUGAGGUACCACUGUAUUAUGUCUCUUAGCUGCUAUGUCUUUUUCUUCCACUAGUGGCCGAGGAAUGAUGAUCUUUGUUGCUGUUGUAAUCCCUAUCUCAACAAAUUAUAGAAACAGGUGAGUUUAGUCGGGGCCUGUGAGUUUGCUAGGUGUCCAGAUUAACCCGGUCAAAUUUGGGGGAUGCCAACCAGGGGAAGAGCAUAUGGUAGAGCUUGUUGCAACUCAGACUUGUCAUAACGUCAGUUACUCUUCCCCAACGGACGUUUUUUCUAUCCUGGCACCUUCAGUUCUGGCCAGCUGCCUUUUGCAUCAUAACAUUCUCUGGCCAGUUUGAAUCUUGGAGGUCACCGUGGUGACAGCAGGAAACAGGCUCAUAUGACGCCAGUUCCAGGGGCUCCCAGGAUGGGAUGCUGCCCUGAAGUAACACUGAGCGCGGGUGCGUUUGAGGACCACAGGGUGGGGGGUGGGAAUCACCCUCAUGUUUACCAUGAAAAGAAGGGGAAUAGCAGAGCAUCUUGACAGACAGAAUCUGUUAUGGCAACAGCAGCAGGGCAGGGCUAUUCAUCCAUGGAAGAGACAAGGAGAGGGAGAAGAUGGGGGGAAGAUUCUUCCCCAUGGGAUCAACCGGACACUAGGGCAUAAUCCAAUAGCAGGAGGACCUCCCACAAGCCACUGUUGUAUCUAUACUGUGUACCUCUUCCUCUUCCCUGGAAGGGUCAGGAUGGGGAGGUGGUCUACACCAUUCCUCCUCCUGACACCUGGAAAAGGUUGAGAAAGGAACCACCAAAAUUAUCAAGGGUUCAGAGUAACUCCCUUAUAUGGAAAUAUUGGGAUCUUUUAGGUUAGAAGGAAGGAUGCUCUCUGUCAGCCCUGGUAGUUGUAUUAAUUCUAGAACCAUUAGCAAUCAAGUUAUGCAAUGCCCUCUCUGGUACAGGAGUGGUUGCAAACGAAAAUGAACAGAGGACCUUGGAACUUAUCCCCGAGGGUUUAAGAAAAAGCCUGUCUGCCCGCCCUUGGGAAGAAAGAUAGGGGAGACCCAACCUGAUCCACCAGCUUUGCCCCCCCCCCAAGUUGCCAGACAUCCAGCCCUCUGAAGUGAAAUCUCCAGCCCUAGCCCAUCAGGGGAUUAAAUACAUGUGGAGAAUCCAGGGAAAAUGAAAACAUUGAGUCAGGGGAUGAGAGGCUCCCUCCAUUGACAAAGGUGAGUCUGUGCCGGCUCAGUAAACCUCUCAGCUUUGACACAGAGGGAAGGGUCUUGCCCAGCUAAUGAUUCUCUGAUCCUAGGAGACUCAAACGAUUGGUCCAUCUAUUGCAGUACCGUCUACUACAUUGAUUGGCAGCAGGUCUCCAGAGCUUUAGGCAGGGAAUGUUCCCAGCCCUGCCUAGUGAUGCUCUCUCUUGAACCCAUGACCUUCUGCAUGCAAAGCAGGUGUUCUGUCUCUGGAUUACGGCCUUUCCCUGGAAUGCUUUCCCCAGAGUGGUUUUCCUGAUGCUUCUGCUGCUGCCCACCUUGGUGC